UAUGGUAUAUCUAUACAUCUUUACUAAUAAUAAAAAACUAUCAUCUCAUUUGUUAGUAAAACUUUACUUCAUCUAUAUCUUUCAUUCAUCUCCAAAUUUGCUAAAUAAAAGCAGUAGAGAGAGAGAGUAGAGGGCAUUUUUGACAGUCACGAGGAGGUAAAGGGAGAGGGAAUUUCAUCUUCAUACACCCUAGAUUCAUCAACUACUUUGGAAGAUCUAAGAAUGAUAGCCAUUAAAUUAAGGUAAAAACUCUAGAUAUUAAGAUUUUGUUUUUAUUUCUUGUGAUGGUUUGAUAAAAUAGAG
rnacentral:lncRNA from 1 species